UCCGCAUCGGCAAGGCUGUGACGCUGAAAGUCUGUUUGCUCACGGCAUUUUGCACGGGAUAAUUUCUCCUUACCAGAUGUAGCAUGUCAAAGACAGCGGCUGAAAAAAAUGCAGUACCAACUGAAAACCUGCCAAGGACGUCAUGUUAUGAUGAGAACAAGGAUGCUCAUAUGAAAGAGCUUUCACUGGCAAGACUUCGCCGACGUGUGUAUCGGUCAGCCAGAAAUGAAUCAAGCAAAGAAACUGUUGCCUCCCCAUUAGAAGCAAAGGUGUUGCCCCAUGCACCUGUCAGCACGACCACCAUGGACGAUCUCCCAUCCCCUGACAGCAACAGCAUGGACCAAAUAAGUGACAAAGGAAAUAUGGUAAUUUCUUUUUGUAUAUGUAUGUGUUGUGGUAGCUGUCUUUACCUAGACGGUGGCAUGCUUUCUGGAUUUACAUCGUAAAAGCAUUGUAGCACGUGG